rnacentral:rRNA from 1 species
GAUGAACGCUGGCGGCGUGCCUAAUACAUGCAAGUCGAGCGAACGGACGAGGAGCUUGCUCCUCUGACGUUAGCGGCGGACGGGUGAGUAACACGUGGAUAACCUACCUAUAAGACUGGGAUAACUUCGGGAAACCGGAGCUAAUACCGGAUAAUAUAUUGAACCGCAUGGUUCAAUAGUGGAAGACGGUUUUGCUGUCACUUAUAGAUGGAUCCGCGCCGCAUUAGCUAGUUGGUAAGGUAACGGCUUACCAAGGCAACGAUGCGUAGCCGACCUGAGAGGGUGAUCGGCCACACUGGAACUGAGACACGGUCCAGACUCCUACGGGAGGCAGCAGUAGGGAAUCUUCCGCAAAGGGCGAAAGCCUGACGGAGCAACGCCGCGUGAGUGAUGAAGGUCUUCGGAUCGUAAAACUCUGUUAUUAGGGAAGAACAAAUGUGUAAGUAACUAUGCACGUCUUGACGGUACCUAAUCAGAAAGCCACGGCUAACUACGUG